AGAGUUUGAUCCUGGCUCAGAACGAACGCUGGCGGCGUGCCUAACACAUGCAAGUCGAACGGAAUUUGAGAGCUUGCUCUUAAAUUUAGUGGCGCACGGGUGGGUAACGCGUAGAUAAUCUGCCUGACGAUCUGGGAUAACACUUCGAAAGAGGUGCUAAUACCGGAUAAGCCCACGGAGUCUUUGGACUUUGGCGGGAA
rnacentral:rRNA from 1 species